GAGAGUAUCCUCAGGUGAGCGAGAGAACUCUCGUUAAGGAACUCGGCAAAAUGGCCCCGUAACUUCGGGAGAAGGGGCGCUGGUCGCAAGAUCAGCCGCAGUGAAAAGGCCCAAGCAACUGUUUAUCAAAAACACAGGCAUCUGCAAAAUCGUAAGAUGAAGUAUAGGUGCUGACACCUGCCCGGUGCUGGAAGGUUAAGAGGAGAGCUUAGCGCAAGCGAAGGUUUGAAUUGAAGCCCCAGUAAACGGCGGCCGUAACUAUAACGGUCCUAAGGUAGCGAAAUUCCUUGUCGGGUAAGUUCCGACCUGCACGAAAGGUGUAAUGAUUUGGGCACUGUCUCAACGAGAGACUCGGUGAAAUUAUAAUACCCGUGAAGAUGCGGGUUACCCGCGACAGGACGGAAAGACCCCAUGGAGCUUUACUGCAGUUUAAUAUUGGGUAUCUGUCAAGCAUGUACAGGAUAGGUAGGAGCCGGAGAAGAUAGGACGCCAGUCUUAUC
rnacentral:rRNA from 1 species